CGAAAGCAUGGGGAGCGAACAGGAUUAGAUACCCUGGUAGUCCAUGCCGUAAACGUUGGGCGCUAGGUGUGGGACCGUGCCGCAGCUAACGCAUUAAGCGCCCCGCCUGGGGAGUACGGCCGCAAGGCUAAAACUCAAAGGAAUUGACGGGGGCCCGCACAAGCGGCGGAGCAUGCGGAUUAAUUCGAUGCAACGCGAAGAACCUUACCAAGGCUUGACAUACAGGUGGUGCAUGGUUGUCGUCAGCUCGUGUCGUGAGAUGUUGGGUUAAGUCCCGCAACGAGCGCAACCCUCGUUCUAUGUUGCGACUCAUAGGAGACUGCCGGGGUCAACUCGGAGGAAGGUGGGGACGACGUCAAAUCAUCAUGCCCUUAUGUCUUGGGCUUCACGCAUGCUACAAUGGCCGGUACAAAGGGCUGCGAUACCGCAAGGUGGAGCGAAUCCCAAAAAACCGGUCUCAGUUCGGAUUGGGGUCUGCAACUCGACCCCAUGAAGUCGGAGUCGCUAGUAAUCGCAGAUCAGCACGCUGCGGUGAAU
rnacentral:rRNA from 1 species